rnacentral:tRNA from 1 species
GCUGGAGUGGCGGAAUGGCAGACGCCGGAGAUUUAAAAUCUCCUGUCUUAUGGGCGUGCGGGUUCGAGUCCCGCCUUCAGCACCA